GGAAGUAUGACCGAGCAACGCCGCGUGAGUGAAGAAGGUUUUCGGAUCGUAAAGCUCUGUUGUAAGAGAAGAACGAGUGUGAGAGUGGAAAGUUCACACUGUGACGGUAUCUUACCAGAAAGGGACGGCUAACUACGUGCCAGCAGCCGCGGUAAUACGUAGGUCCCGAGCGUUGUCCGGAUUUAUUGGGCGUAAAGCGAGCGCAGGCGGUUAGAUAAGUCUGAAGUUAAAGGCUGUGGCUUAACCAUAGUACGCUUUGGAAACUGUUUAACUUGAGUGCAAGAGGGGAGAGUGGAAUUCCAUGUGUAGCGGUGAAAUGCGUAGAUAUAUGGAGGAACACCGGUGGCGAAAGCGGCUCUCUGGCUUGUAACUGACGCUGAGGCUCGAAAGCGUGGGGAGCAAACAGGAUUAGAUACCCUGGUAGUCCACGCCGUAAACGAUGAGUGCUAGGUGUUAGACCCUUUCCGGGGUUUAGUGCCGCAGCUAACGCAUUAAGCACUCCGCCUGGGGAGUACGACCGCAAGGUUGAAACUCAAAGGAGUUGACGGGGGCC
rnacentral:rRNA from 1 species